CCGUUCAAUACUGCGGGGCUUGAGGGUAGAAGAGGGGGGUGGAAUUGCCGGUGUAGUGGUGAAAUGCGUAGAUAUCGGCAGGAACACCUGUGGCGAAAGCGGCCCCCUGGUCUGCUCCUGACACUCAGACGCGAAAGCUAGGGGAGUGAACGGGAUUAGAAACCCCGGUAAUCCUAGCCGUAAACGAUGGAUGCUAGGUGUGGGUGGUAUUGACCCCAUCCGUGCCGAAGCCAACGCGUUAAGCAUCCCGCCUGGGGACUACGGCCGCAAGGUUAAAACUCAAAGGAAUUGACGGGGACCCGCACAAGCAGCGGAGCGUGUGGUUUAAUUCGAUGCUACACGAAGAACCUUACCCAGGUUUGACAUGCAGGUAGUAGUGAAGCGAAAGCGGAACGACUCGCAAGAGAGCCUGCACAGGUGCUGCAUGGCUGUCGUCAGCUCGUGCCGUGAGGUGUUUGGUUAAGUCCACUAACGAGCGCAACCCCUGUCGUCAGUUACAUGUGUCUGACGAGACUGCCGGCCUUAAGCCGGAGGAAGGUGGGGAUGAUGUCAAGUCAGCAUGGCCUUUAUAUCUGGG
rnacentral:rRNA from 1 species